rnacentral:rRNA from 15 species
GGCAAAAUACCUCCGUAAGUUCGCGAGAAGGAGGCCCGGGUUCAAGGCAACUUGGAUCCGGGGGCACAAACCAGGGGGUGGCGACUGUUUACUAAAAACACAGGGCUCUGCGAAGUCGCAAGACGACGUAUAGGGUCUGACGCCUGCCCGGUGCCUGAAGGUUAAAAGGAGGAGUGAGAGCUCCGAAUUGAAGCCCAGGUAAACGGCGGCCGUAACAAUAACGGUCCUAAGGUAGCGAAAUUCCUUGUCGGGUAAGUUCCGACCUGCACGAAUGGCGUAACGACUUCCCCGCUGUCUCCAACAUCGACUCAGCGAAAUUGAAUUGCCUGUCAAGAUGCAGGCUUCCCGCGGUUAGACGGAAAGACCCCGUGCACCUUUACUACAGCUUCGCACUGGCAUCAGGAUUGUGAUGUGCAGGAUAGGUGGUAGGCAUCGAAACCAGAACGCUAGUUCCGGUGGAGCCUCCCUUGAGAUACCACCCUUCGCACUCUUGAUGUCUAACCGCGGUCCGUUAUCCGGAUCCGGGACCCUGCGUGGCGGGUAGUUUGACUGGGGCGGUCGCCUCCUAAAGCGUAACGGAGGCGCGCGAAGGUUGGCUCAGAGCGGUCGGAAAUCGCUCGUUGAGUGCAAUGGCAGAAGCCAGCCUGACUGCGAGACUGACAAGUCGAGCAGAGACGAAAGUCGGCCAUAGUGAUCCGGUGGUCCCGAGUGGAAGGGCCAUCGCUCAACGGAUAAAAGGUACGCCG